GAUGAACGCUGGCGGCGUGCCUAAUACAUGCAAGUCGAACGCACCACUUCGGUGGUGAGUGGCGAACGGGUGAGUAACACGUAGAUAACCUGCCCUUAAGACGAGGAUAACCGUUGGAAACGAUGGCUAAAACUGGAUAGGAAUAUUGAAGGCAUCUUUAAUAUUUUAAAAAGACCUAGUAAUAGGUAUACUUAAGGAGGGGUCUGCGGCGCAUUAGUUAGUUGGUGAGGUGAUGGCUUACCAAGACGAUGAUGCGUAGCCGGACUGAGAGGUUGAACGGCCACAUUGGGACUGAGAAACGGCCCAAACUCCUACGGGAGGCAGCAGUAGGGAAUUUUCGGCAAUGGGGGAAACCCUGACCGAGCAACGCCGCGUGAAUGACGAAGUACUUCGGUAUGUAAAGUUCUUUUAUCAGGGAAGAAUGACUUAUGGAAAAAUAAGUGUGACGGUACCUGAUGAAUAAGCCCCGGCUAACUAUGUG
rnacentral:rRNA from 1 species